AGCGAACGCUGGCGGCAGGCCUAACACAUGCAAGUCGAACGAACCCUUCGGGGUUAGUGGCGGACGGGUGAGUAACACGUGGGAACGUGCCUUUAGGUUCGGAAUAACUCAGGGAGACUUGUGCUAAUACCGAAUGUGCCCUUCGGGGGAAAGAUUUAUCGCCUUUAGAGCGGCCCGCGUCUGAUUAGCUAGUUGGUGAGGUAAUGGCUCACCAAGGCUACGAUCAGUAGCUGGUCUGAGAGGAUGACCAGCCACAUUUGGACUGAGACACGGCCCAAACUCCUACGGGAGGCAGCAGUGGGGAAUCUUGCGCAAUGGGCGAAAGCCUGACGCAGCCAUGCCGCGUGGAUGAUGAAGGUCUUAGGAUUGUAAAAUCCUUUCACCGGUGAAGAUAAUGACUGUAGCCGGAGAAGAAGCCCCGGCUAACUUCGUGCCAGCAGCCGCGGUAAAAC
rnacentral:rRNA from 1 species